UACGUAGGGUGCAAGCGUUGUCCGGAAUUAUUGGGCGUAAAGAGCUUGUAGGCGGUUUGUCGCGUCUGCUGUGAAAUUUCGGGGCUCAACCCCGAACUUGCAGUGGGUACGGGCAGACUAGAGUCCGGUAGGGGAGCGGGGAAUUCCUGGUGUAGCGGUGAAAAUGCGCAGAUAUCAGGAGGAACACCGGUGGCGAAGGCG
rnacentral:rRNA from 1 species